ACUCCUACGGGAGGCAGCAGUGGGGAAUUUUGGACAAUGGGCGCAAGCCUGAUCCAGCAAUGCCGCGUGAGUGAAGAAGGCCUUCGGGUUGUAAAGCUCUUUUAGUUGAAAAGAAAAAAUCGUGACUAAUAAUCGCGAUUCAUGACGGUAUCAACAGAAAAAGCACCGGCUAACUACGUGCCAGCAGCCGCGGUAAU
rnacentral:rRNA from 1 species